rnacentral:tRNA from 1 species
GCCUAGUUAGCUUGGAGGGUAGAGCGCAUGCCUUGUAAGCGCUGGGUCACGGGUUCGAUUCCCGUUCGAGGUA